UGGCUGGUGAUGGGUGGUGAGUGGGUGGUAGGAGGGUGGUGAGUGGGUGGUGAGAGGGUGGUGAAUGGGUGGUGAGUGGGUGGUGAAUAGGUGGUGAGUGGCUGGUGAUGGGUGGUGGGUGGGUGGUGAGUGGGUGGUGAGUGGGUGGUGAGAGGGUGGUGAGUGGCUGGUGAUGGCUGGUGAGUAGGUUGUGAGUGGGUUGUGAUGGGUGGUGAGAGGGUGCUGAUUGGCUGGUGAGUGGCUGGUGAAGGGUGGUGAGUCGGUGGUGAGAGGGUGGUGAGAGGGUUGUGUAGGGUGGUGAGUAGGUUGUGAGUGGGUUGUGAGAGGGUGGUGAUUGGCUGGUGAGUGGCUGGUGAGUGGGUGGUGAGUUGGUGGUGUGUGGCUGGUGAUGGGUGGUGAGAGGGUGGUGAGUCGGUGGUGAGAGGGUGGUGAGUCGGUGGUGUGAGGGUGGUG
ensembl:lncRNA